AAACAUCGCCUCUUGCUUAAAUAUAAGAGGUCUAGCCUGCCCAGUGACCUAGUUCAACGGCCGCGGUAUCCUAACCGUGCGAAGGUAGCGUAAUCACUUGUUCUUUAAAUGGGGACUAGUAUGAACGGCAUCACGAGGGUUAUGCUGUCUCCUUUUUCUAAUCAAUGAAACUGAUCUCCCCGUGAAGAAGCGGGCAUAAUAAUAUAAGACGAGAAGACCCUAUGGAGCUUUAAACUAUUAUAGCACUGGCCCAUCCACUCCAUGUUUCAGAACUACGACACUCACUAUAGCCUUAAUGACUAUUAGUUUUAGGUUGGGGUGACCGCGGAGCAAAAACUAACCUCCACAUUGAAAAGAACCUUUCUUGAGCCCAAAGCCACGACUUCAAGCACCAACAAACUGACAUACAUUGACCCAAGAAAUUGAGCAACGAACCAAGUUACCCUAGGGAUAACAGCGCAAUCCACUUCAAGAGCCCCUAUCGACAAGUGGGUUUACGACCUCGAUGUUGGAUCAGGGUAUCCCAGUGGCGCAGCCGCUACUAAUGGUUCGUUUGUUCAACGAUUAAAACCCUACGUGAUC
rnacentral:rRNA from 1 species